UACAGAGGUCCCAAGCGUUGUUCGGAUUCACUGGGCGUAAAGGGUGCGUAGGUGGUUAGGUAAGUCCGAUGUGAAAUCUCCAGGCUCAACCUGGAAAUGGCAUUGGAUACUAUCUAGCUUGAGGAGUGGAGGGGGGACUGGAAUUCUCGGUGUAGCAGUGAAAUGCGUAGAUAUCGGGAGGAACACCUGUGGCGAAGGCGGCCAUCUGGACAACUACUGACACUGAGACGCGAAAGCGUGGGUAGCAAACAGG
rnacentral:rRNA from 1 species